rnacentral:rRNA from 1 species
GAUGAACGCUAGCGGGAAGCCUAACACAUGCAAGCCGAGCGGUAUUGUUUCUUCGGAAAUGAGAGAGCGGCGUACGGGUGCGGAACACGUGUGCAACCUGCCUUUAUCUGGGGGAUAGCCUUUCGAAAGGAAGAUUAAUACUCCAUAAUAUAUUGAACGGCAUCGUUUAAUAUUGAAAGCUCCGGCGGAUAGAGAUGGGCACGCGCAAGAUUAGCUAGUUGGUGAGGUAACGGCUCACCAAGGCGAUGAUCUUUAGGGGGCCUGAGAGGGUGAUCCCCCACACUGGUACUGAGACACGGACCAGACUCCUACGGGAGGCAGCAGUGAGGAAUAUUGGUCAAUGGGUGCAAGCCUGAACCAGCCAUCCCGCGUGAAGGACGACUGCCCUAUGGGUUGUAAACUUCUUUUGUAUAGGGAUAAACCUACCCUCGUGAGGGUAGCUGAAGGUACUAUACGAAUAAGCACCGGCUAACUCCGUGCCAGCAGCCGCGGUAAUACGGAGGGUGCAAGCGUUAUCCGGAUUUAUUGGGUUUAAAGGGUCCGUAGGCGGACUUAUAAGUCAGUGGUGAAAGCCUGUCGCUUAACGAUAGAACUGCCAUUGAUACUGUAAGUCUUGAGUAUAUUUGAGGUAGCUGGAAUAAGUAGUGUAGCGGUGAAAUGCAUAGAUAUUACUUAGAACACCAAUUGCGAAGGCAGGUUACCAAGAUAUAACUGACGCUGAGGGACGAAAGCGUGGGGAGCGAACAGGAUUAGAUACCCUGGUAGUCCACGCCGUAAACGAUGCUAACUCGUUUUUGGGCUUUAGGGUUCAGAGACCAAGCGAAAGUGAUAAGUUAGCCACCUGGGGAGUACGCUCGCAAGAGUGAAACUCAAAGGGAUUGACGGGGGCCCGCACAAGCGGUGGAUUAUGUGGUUUAAUUCGAUGAUACGCGAGGAACCUUACCAAGACUUAAAUGGGAAUUGACAGCUUUAGAAAUAGAGCUUUCUUCGGACAAUUUUCAAGGUGCUGCAUGGUUGUCGUCAGCUCGUGCCGUGAGGUGUUAGGUUAAGUCCUGCAACGAGCGCAACCCCUGUCACUAGUUGCCAUCAUUCAGUUGGGGACUCUAGCGAGACUGCCUACGCAAGUAGAGAGGAAGGUGGGGAUGACGUCAAAUCAUCACGGCCCUUACGUCUUGGGCCACACACGUAAUACAAUGGCCGGUACAGAGGGCAGCUACACAGCGAUGUGAUGCAAAUCUCGAAAGCCGGUCUCAGUUCGGAUUGGAGUCUGCAACUCGACUCUAUGAAGCUGGAAUCGCUAGUAAUCGCGCAUCAGCCAUGGCGCGGUGAAUACGUUCCCGGGCCU